AUUGAACGCUGGCGGCAUGCCUUACACAUGCAAGUCGAACGGCAGCACGGGAGCAAUCCUGGUGGCGAGUGGCGAACGGGUGAGUAAAGUAUCGGAACGUGCCCAGUAGUGGGGGAUAACGUAGCGAAAGUUACGCUAAUACCGCAUACGAUCUAUGGAUGAAAGCGGGGGAUCGCAAGACCUCGCGCGAUUGGAGCGGCCGAUAUCAGAUUAGGUAGUUGGUGGGGUAAAGGCUCACCAAGCCGACGUUCUGUAGCUGGUCUGAGAGGACGACCAGCCACACUGGGACUGGGACACGGACCAGACUCCUACGGGAGGCAGCAGUGGGGAAUGUUGGACAAUGGGCGAAAGCCUGAUCCAGCCAUGCCGCGUGCAGGAUGAAGGCCUUCGGGUUGUAAACUGCUUUUGUACGGAACGAAAAGGUUUGGCCUAAUAAGCUGAGCUCAUGACGGUACCGUAAGAAUAAGCACUGGCUAACUACGUGCCAGCCGCCGCCGUAA
rnacentral:rRNA from 1 species